GGUUUCUCCAUUGUGGAAUUAUACCUUGACACCAAAACCAAAAGAGAAAUGCAGUAAUCAAAACUGACUCCAGCAAUUAAUCUUUGACUUCCCCACCCUUUUCCUUGAAAAUUCGGGUCACUUUCUUUCUCGUGUUAUAUUUUUUUCCAAUUCUCUGAAUUAUAAUACAAGUCGGCCUACAUCGAAACUUAUAUCAUUGCAAGUAUCUUUGCGACGUGUUUCGAGUGCUGUACAUCUGGGUUUCCUAUCUGCUCAAACAGACUGAUUUCUCGUUUAUGUGGGACCUGCCAUUAUCACGUAUACAUGUUAGGCAAAAUCGCUAGGUCAGCACACGUCAGCCGGUGAGAAAAAGAGAAGUUGGCUAGACUUUUUUUUUCACCAACUGUAGGGAAGUUGUAUAAACCAGAGCCAUGUCCGUGCUACCAUACGGGCAAACAAUCAUGGAUAUACAGUGGGAUUUUAUGCUCAGUGUUCGCGCCAUUAUCCAGUAGAGAAAUUUAACGAAAAAUUUAGCUGAAUUUGCAACGAAGGUUGUUACACGUUGAAAUAAUGGAGCUACUAUGACAGUAACAAAAACUUACCACAGACAUGACAGGGCAAAGCGUUUACAAUCCAUAUCAGUUUCAUAUAUAAAUUUUGGAUAAUGAUAUUAUAUUGAUCAUGGUUUCACAGACUUACUAGAUUGUACUAGGCCUCUUAUUCAUGAAUGCUAAAGUGCAAUUAUUUCGGAAUGCUAAAGUGCAGUCUUUCGUAUGAGGGGGAUGAAUAUGAUGGAGGUAAAUGAUGGCAAACUGCUGUACCAAAAUACAUAUUUACAUGUCCAUACUUGUACGUGUAAAUAUGUUCGCGAAAUGAAUUAUGGAAUAGAUAAUUGUGUAUGUUCGUGAAGGGAUUGGGGUGCCUGGUAUUGUUUACCCGGCCAAAUGAAUGUUUUUAUAACCUGUCAAACUCAGUUCAUUCCUAUAUAAGCAUCAUUCUUCUUUCGUUAAAAAUAAAAUAAUUUAAACGUUAUCAACUCACGUUUCCUUACUGCGAUACUCAGCGAUAGAGAAACAUGAAAAAGACGAAAAGGGUAUAGCCUAGAUCGGGGAGAUAGAAAACCUACAUGAAGGAAAACUUGUGGGGAAACUACAUCACAACUGAUACAAAAGAACGAAGUUCGGUAAAGUAGAACUUUUUCUCUCAACAUAGUUCUAUUGAUAAUCUCAUCUCGACUCAUUUCAAUAUUACAUGCCAAUAUAACAUGAAGGUAGUAUUAAAAAAUAAUCAUCUCAGUAGAACUACUAGUCGUAUCGCUUAGGGUGAUGAUAUCAGGAAUUGUAUAGAGCCUAUAGGGACUGGCAAUGUACCAUCUGUAAUAGCUCUAUGGUACCAUGGUGGGUGAAAGCAUAUCGCACAGCUAAUGAAAGACGUGCUUGCUUGAUACAUGCUUGAUGCUACAGACUAGUCAAGGUACUAGAAUAUGCUAGUUGCACUUUAUGUUCCGAACAUUUUGCGACCAAGGUUUGCAAUCACCUUUCUGUCAUUCUUGUGAUGUAUCAGUUCAAUUAAACUUUCAAUCCAUCUGUAGAUGAAUGAUUUUCAAAGGGUCACAGUUCAGAUCAAUUAUCGUUAUGAAUAUGCUUAUAGUAUACACAGCGACCAUUCAAAAGCAAAUUCACAUCGAUACCUUUAAGGAAAGAUCACUACAACGCGGGACCUAUCAUAUGUUUUUAAACCUCAUAAUAUUAGCCAAAGUCAAAGAAGGUGGGGGGGGGGGAAUAUCGUAGGUUUAUAAGUGCCAUAUCGAUGUUGAUACAAUCUGGUCGGAAUAUCUACUACAGCAUAAACCUACAUCAUAUACUAAGCAUCACUUCUGUUCUAUUGGAUGCUUUAAGUUUGGUUAGUCGGUUGCUUGGUUAUCACUGAGGUUAGAGAUUUAAUAAAUGUGGUUUUGUAUGUUCGAGCGAUUGUUGGCUUUGCUCGAACUUUUCACGCAGCCUACAAAUAUCACCUAAACACCGCUCCCACAAUUUUACUUUGCCUUUCGACAAGGCUGUAAAACAUAUGCAUCAGCUUCGGACCACUGGACUGACACCCUGUACCUAAAAUAAUGUAGGCCAACACCAUCUUGGAAACCCCUCCCGCUGAUGACAGUCAUAACACUCGAUGUUACCGUAAACUGACCUAAGGUCACCAGACUGCAAUUGACCUCAAAGUGACCUUACAGUUCUCCUCUUUCUUUACCUCCCGAUGUCACCUUGUCAAAAUGAUUCAUGUAGUAACGAUAAAUAAUUACGGUUGGCUCACCCUGGCCAAGCAGGUUAAAGGAGCCCGGUUUUUUAAUUCUGCGACGUUUCAAAUAUGAUAAACAUGAUCAGCGUUUUACUUUAACCAACCCUCGUCAGCAACCAUGUAACGCGAAAGUUUUUGGCAAUGAUGAAAGCAUAAAUCUUUUCUUUGGAUUUUUGAAACAAUAUAUUUUAUAGGUAGGCCUAUAAAACUGAUCAGUCAUUAUCAGAAUGAAAGCCAGCUACUCCACAAUUCAAAAAAUAAAAAUAAAAGAAUAAGCAGUAUUCUGAAGUCUAUAACGUACGACUACGAGAAGACAACUCAAGCUUCUCGUGCUGAAGAGAUUUAUUCAAACAAUUGGGUAUAUAGAUUAAUCGAAGACAGUAUACAAGACGUGAACUACUAAUGUCCUUGGUCUAUUUUAUUGAUAAUAAUAUAGUAUUUCUAUACGACAGUUAUCAUGGCAAUGCCCAAAUAUCACACACACACAGGCACCUAAACUUUAAAUAUGGCCUAACUACAUAACCCUGGCCUGUUGACACAUUUAACCAUUCGAUUCCGAACUAACCUAUCAGUCAACAAUCUCCUUUUUCCCAUUUUCCAUUUUGCCAUGUCUGCCGCGUAUGAAGUGCAAUUCAUAAUAAUUGUGCCACACUUGGCGAGCCUAUUAUCGCCUUUUCUUUCUCCCAGCUCUAUGACUAUGAGAGUCAAUAGAUGAUGAAGGACAAAGAUCAAGAUCUUCUGCACUUUGAAUUAUACCACAUAAAUAGAAAAUGGGUCAUCGCCUCAAUGCUACGAUGUUGCAACAGCCAUGUACAUAAUUUAUAAUGUUCUAGACCCAUCUCCAACAAGUCAUCUACUUUCUCAUGCCUGGAUGCAAAUGAGGCUAGAUAAAGAACGAAUUCAAUUGUCUGGGCCAGCCUAUAAAUGCAGCUGAAUUGAUACGUGUCCCAGAUAACACACCUGACCUAUAUAAUUGGUAUUUACAUGCUUGUUGUUUGUGCAUUUCCACAUGAUUUAUUUAAUGCGGACAAUUACUGGGACGAGUCUGCCUAAAUAUCCCCUGUUCAUUUGAGACAGUGCACUACCCUACCAGACAAGCCUUGUUAAGCGUAGCCUAUAAUCUAGGCGGAGGCUGCAGUUAUUAUUGUCUUUGCUGUUAUGCUGAACGCAAGAGAUACGUCUGAUCUGGCGAAGACUACCUAUUUGUGACUGCCUGAUCGUAGCGUAAUAGAUGGUCCCACGUAUAAGCUUUUAUGUUCACAAAUCAAUAAGUCGUAUUUAUAUGAUAAUUUUCGAUAAAUACUCAAAUAUCAUUCAUCACUUUGGAAUAAUGUCCAUUCAUUCCAAACAUAUUUUAAGGCAUUCGGAAUGUAUAAGAAUCAUACUAGUAAUAGAGGUAAAUUCAUGAUCACAAAGUGACGAAGCCAUUUCUAAGACAGGAUGUAAAUGCCUAGCAUACAAAGCAGAAAUGUCAUAAAAUUAGAGAUUUUCAUGUCCUUCAUAUUUUUAGUGCCCGGAAUAAAUCCAUUGUACAGUUCAACAAGUGAGUUCUGGAAGCUAUUUGACCAGACAUUUCUUUUAAUUUCUUCAUCCGACCAAAGGUUUUUGGAUUACUUGGCGACGAAUGGCUCUGCAACAUGCAGCCCGCUCGUAAGAGUUAUAAUUGCUGACCUUGGUUAUUUUUUUUCCAACUGUGGAGUAGAACAGGUGGACUUGUCACAGAAUGAUGGAAACCACGUUAAAAUUACUGAUAUUCUCCUUC